CCUGGCUCAUAAGUGUCAUUUUUAGUAUUAUUAAUUGAGUAUGUUAUUAAACUUUUGCUUUACUCCACAUGAUCCAAAUUGGAUGUUUACACUUUCUAUGCAUUACAUUAUCAAUAUAAUACAUGUUUUUUAUAAUGACUUUUAACCUACUGAUGACAAUUGUUCAGUAUAUAAGAUAACUUGUUUAACCAGUGGAACAUAUUUCACAGACAAGGAACUUAUUUCACCAGGUGAGGAACAAAUUUCACAAAUCCAGAACUUAUUUCACCAGGUAAGGAACAAAUCUCACAAACAUGGAACUUAUUUCACUAGGUAAGGAACAAAUUUCACCAACCCAGAACUUAUUUCACCAGGUAAAGUGUGGAACUUAUUUCAUAGAGAUGGAACAAAUUAUAUAGAAAUUGUCUGUGAAAAAAGUUCUCCCAGAACAUAUUUAGUUCCACUGGAACUUUUUUCACAGGAACAAAUUUUGGCUCACAUA
rnacentral:lncRNA from 1 species